rnacentral:rRNA from 1 species
CCUACGGGUGGCAGCAGUGGGGAAUAUUGCACAAUGGGGGAAACCCUGAUGCCGCGACGCCGCGGGAGUGAAGAAGUAUUUCGGUACGUAAAGCUCUAUCAGCAGGGAAGAAAAUGACGGUACCUGAAUAAGAAGCCCCGGCUAACUACGGGCCAGCAGCCGCGGUAAUACGUAGGGGGCAAGCGUUAUCCGGAUUUACUGGGUGGAAAGGGAGCGUAGACGGCAGCACAAGUCUGGAGUGAAAUGCCAGGGCUUAACCCCGGAACUGCUUUGGAAACUGUGCAGCUAGAGUGCAGGAGAGGUAAGUGGAAUUCCUAGUGUAGCGGUGAAAUGCGUAGAUAUUAGGAGGAACACCAGUGGCGAAGGCGGCUUACUGGACUGUAACUGACGUUGAGGCUCGAAAGCGUGGGGAGCAAACAGGAUUAGAUACCCCAGUAGUC